AUGUACUGGACAAGCAGGUGGCGUUGGAUGUGGAUCAUUGGAAAUAGUGUGUAGAAGCUCAACGAUGAAGAGAUGCAGAUCUACUCUCUCUUCGAUCAGAUCUACUUUUUUUUUUUCUCUCUCUCUCUCCCUCUCCCUGCGAUUUGCUAACAUGGUAAUAUCAGAUCUGCUUUGUCUCUCUAAAUUCUUGUAGAAACUUGCAUCUUGGUAUGUUCUUUCUUCAUUACCAGUUCUUACUUCUCAACUGCGUCGAAGCACUAAAGAGCUCAGAGAAACUCUAUCACUCUUUACCAUGAAUUGCUCAAUUUUCAGUGAAGUACCGAAGGAGCCGAUGGUUUCGAUGAAGUCUGGACUUCUUUACGAGAAGCGAUUGAUUGAGAGACACAUAUCCGCAUGUUUGCUUCCUCCCUCUUUCUUGAUUCUAGGGUUUCAAAUUUUUUCUGUUUGUUUACUGAGAAAAUGGUACUAAGUGAAUAAAAUUAAAAAUUUUGGAUUGUAAAGGUUUUUAUUUUUUGCUACUUAAGAAAUUUUAAGCAAGAAAAAAAAAACAAGAAGAAGAAGAAGAUUCUAUGUUAUUUUUUAUUUUCCCCAAUUUUCAUAUGGGUUCAGUUUGUUUUCAUUUUAACUAUGUUUGUACAUUUUUCUUUUGAAUUCUAUGGUUAUUAGUAGUAAGAAUUUUUUAUGUAGGAUUUUAAUUUGUUUCUUGGCCAUGUACUCUGUUUUUUUUUUUUUUUUUUUUUCUGAGAAUACUGAGAAUAAAAGUGGAAAUUUGAUAGUGAAGAUUUUCAUUAUUUGAGGCUUCAGAAAUUUUUAAAAAAGAAAGAAAGAAAGACAGGAAAGAAUGCACUCAAUUUAGUAAAACUUUUCGGCUUAGUGAUUGUGAUUUGUGAAUAUGAAACAGAAGAUUUAAUGUUAUCUUAUAUUUUCCCCAAUUUUUAUCAGCAACACAUUUGUCAUAUUUUUCUUUUGAAUUUUAUGGUUAUUAGUAAGAACUUUUAAUGUUAGUUCAAAACUCUCUGAAAUUUGCAUUUUUGUUUGUUCUUUAACUAUGAGUAUGGAAAAUGCCCUAUUACCGGGGAGCCUCUGUCUAUGGAUGACAUUGUAUCGAUCAAAACCAGCAUGAUAAUGAAGCCAAGACCAAUAUAAGCUGCAAGCAUUCCUGGGAUGCUUGGAAUGUUCCAAAUAGUAUGCGUUUCCAAUCCCAAAAACAAUUGUGGCGUUCAUACAUGGUUCAUGUCAACAUUAUUUCUACAAACUGGAGUAUGGAAAAUGCCCUAUUACUGGGGAGCCUCUGUCUGUGGAUGACAUUGUCCCGAUCAAAACCGGUGUUAGGAAGAUAAUUAGUGUCAACAAACAAACUUUUGCUGGUUGCAAAGUAAAGAUUUAGAUUGCAGAUUAGUUUGUGCAGUU